rnacentral:rRNA from 1 species
UACGUAGGGUGCAAGCGUUGUCCGGAAUUAUUGGGCGUAAAGAGCUCGUAGGCGGUUUGUCGCGUCGGCUGUGAAAGCCCGGAGCUCAACUCCGGGUCUGCAGUCGAUACGGGCAGACUUGAGUGUUGCAGGGGAGACUGGAAUUCCUGGUGUAGCGGUGGAAUGCGCAGAUAUCAGGAGGAACACCAAUGGCGAAGGCAGAUCUCUGGGCCGUAACUGACGCUGAGGAGCGAAAGCAUGGGGAGCGAACAGG